AGCGAACGCUGGCGGCAUGCCUAACACAUGCAAGUCGAACGAGACCUUCGGGUCUAGUGGCGCACGGGUGCGUAACGCGUGGGAACCUGCCCUUAGGUUCGGAAUAACUCCCCGAAAGGGGUGCUAAUACCGGAUAAUGUCUUCGGACCAAAGAUUUAUCGCCUUUGGAUGGGCCCGCGUUGGAUUAGCUAGUUGGUAGGGUAAAAGCCUACCAAGGCGACGAUCCAUAGCUGGUCUGAGAGGAUGAUCAGCCACACUGGGACUGAGACACGGCCCAGACUCCUACGGAAAGCAGCAGUGGGGAAUAUUGGACAAUGGGCGAAAGCCUGAUCCAGCAAUGCCGCGUGAGUGAUGAGGGCCUUAGGGUUGUAAAGCUCUUUUACCCGGGAUGAUAAUGACAGUACCGGGAGAAUAAGCUCCGGCUAACUCCGUG
rnacentral:rRNA from 1 species